GGAGGGGUUGACCCCAGUGGGGCGGGGUCUGGUCUUGAAAACCAGCAGCGUGUAAAAAGCGCAUCGGAGUUCGAGUCUCCGUCCCUCCGCCA
rnacentral:tRNA from 1 species